rnacentral:lncRNA from 1 species
AUUAUAAGUGAAAUAAUCUGUCUGUAACAAAUUGUUGGAAAAAUUACUUCUGUCAUGCACAAAGUAGAUUUCCAAAACUAUAGUUUGUUAACAAGAAAUUUGUGGAGUGGUUGAAACAACAGUUUUAAUGACUCCAACCUAAGUGUAUGUUAACUUCUGACUUCGACUGUAACCUGAUCCCUGCAGGUACCGAAGCUACAGCUUUGAGCUACAGAGGCCGUCAAGAGUAAGGAAGAUGCUGAAGUCAAACGUCAGAACAAGACAGCAGACAUGGUUGCCGUGACGGAAAGCACAAGGUUAAGUUCUCUGUUGGCAUCAGAUCCACUAUGACGAAAUGGUUGACGAGAAAGAUGCAGAGCUUGAUGAUAAGAAGAGAGAAGACAUGGAGGCAGCUGCUAAUAGAACAUCACUGGAAUUGGAUCUGUCACAGCAGAACAUGGAAAAUGGCCAUUUGAAGGAACAACUGGAGAAAGAAAUGAAGGAGAGGGAAAGCUGACUACAGGAGAUUACAGGUCUGGAAAAAGAGACGGCAUGUCAGAAAAUGAGCAGGCAACUGCAGACACAGGAUAACCAGGAAAUGGAAAGCAAAGCCCCAAGAACUCCGUCUUGGAGCUCCAUAACAACAGUUAUAGCAACACCGCAAAUUAAGGUAUUGGAAUCCGUUGAUUAUACUGUGUGGUGUUUUUAUAAUGUAGGCUAUUCCAUCAUCAAUGGAUGUGGUGUUGGUAUGUUGUAUGAUCACUGUAGAAUUUAUUAGAUUAACUGGAGUGGUAUGUUUGAUGUGUCAAAGGAAAGCAAAGCUCUCAAAACUCCAUCUUGGCGUUCCCCAGUACAGCUGGCGCAACACCACGGAUUAAGGUGGGGAUAGAUUUUUUUAUGUGAAGUAUUCACUGUGUUUACUUUGUUGACCGUGACACGUGUACCAUUCCCCCAGAGGAUUCUCUCCAUCCUAUUUCUCUGUGAUUGAGUGAUUUUCUCCACAGUCUUACAGAAUCAGAACUCCUCCGUCCGCUGGGAAGUCUGUGCCCUGGGGGAAGAGUACCCUGGAGCUUGACCUGGGGGAAGAGUACCCUGGAUCUUGACCUGGGGGAGAGUACCCUGGAGCUUGACCUGGGGGAAGAGUACCCUGGAGCUUGACCUGGAGGAAGAGCACACUGGAGCUUGACCUGGGGGGAGAGCACACUGGAGCUUGACUGAGAAGAGCACACU